GACGAACCGUGCGAACGUUGUUCGGAAUCAUUGGGCUUAAAGGGCGCGUAGGCGGGCUGGCCAGUCCGGGGUGAAAGCCCACGGCUCAACCGUGGAAGUGCCUUGGAUACUGCCAGUCUCGAGGGAGGUAGGGGCGUGCGGAACUUCCGGUGGAGCGGUGAAAUGCGUAGAUAUCGGGAGGAACACCUGAGGCGAAGGGGGGUUACUGGGCUGAUACUGACGCUGAUGCGCGAAAGCCAGGGGAGCAAACGGG
rnacentral:rRNA from 1 species